AACGAACGCUGGCGGCAUGCCUAACACAUGCAAGUCGAACGAGGCCCUUCGGGGUUUAGUGGCGCACGGGCGCGUAACGCGUGGGAAUCUGCCCUUUGGUUCGGAAUAACAGCUGGAAACGGCUGCUAAUACCGGAUGAUGACGAAAGUCCAAAGAUUUAUCGCCAGAGGAUGAGCCCGCGUUGGAUUAGGUAGUUGGUGGGGUAAAGGCCUACCAAGCCGACGAUCCAUAGCUGGUCUGAGAGGAUGAUCAGCCACACUGGGACUGAGACACGGCCCAGACUCCUACUUGAGGCAGCAGUGGGGAAUAUUGGACAAUGGGCGCAAGCCUGAUCCAGCAAUGCCGCGUGAGUGAUGAAGGCCCUAGGGUUGUAAAGCUCUUUUACCCGGAAAGAUAAUGACUGUACCGGGAGAA
rnacentral:rRNA from 1 species